GGGAAAAGAGUUACUGAGGCGAUUUCUGACACAUUUGUAGGGCCAGUUCCCACCGUUCCAUUGGAUAAUUCAUCCUUAUUGACUGCACACCAUCAUGGAAUAGUUGUCUCAUUUUCUUUUCAUCCAUCCUUAGAGCCUUUGCCAAUUGACAGAGGAUGAUCAUUGGGUGAUACUUUAUGCUGGUUGGGGCAUAUCAUUUUGAAGACCAAAAGGAAUCCAAAGAACUUUAGGAAAACAUCUCAACUCUAUGUUCAUAUAUCUAAUGAAUUUUACAGGAUGUUUAGAGUUCUUAAUUUGGCUAUGAUGUUUCUUUUUUCAAAGGGCACAGAGAAGAUAGAUAUGUCAAAAUUACGAUCCGCUUAUGCCAUUGGAAAGAUGACUUCUGCAAUUACACUAUUUAAAAAAUUCAGGCAUGCCAAAACCACAAUCCGCUUGUGCUUUUAGAAAGAGGACUUCUGGAACUACAAUAUAUACAAAAAUAAGGGACGUCAAUAACGUGUGCCGUUGGAGAAAGGAAUUUUGGAACUACAAUAUACACAAAAUUAUGGUCCAGAUAUUUUAUAGGUUUGUCUCCUUUCUUUGGUAAUAACUAUCUUUCUGCAUAUGUUGAACAUUUUGUGGUUGUUUUGUAUUCAAUGUGAUUCAACUAUAUUUUAUACUUUAU